rnacentral:rRNA from 1 species
GACGAACGCUGGCGGCGUGCUUAACACAUGCCAGUCGAACGGAAAGGCCCUGCUUUUGUGGGGUGCUCGAGUGGCGAACGGGUGAGUAACACGUGAGUAACCUGCCCUUGACUUUGGGAUAACUUCAGGAAACUGGGGCUAAUACCGGAUAGGAGCUCCUGCUCCAUGGUGGGGGUUGGAACGUUUCGGCGGGUGGGGAUGGAUUGGCGGCUUAUCAGCUUGUUGGUGGGGGAGUGGCUUACCAAGGCUUUGACGGGUAGGCGGCCUGAGAGCGUGACCGGCGACAUUGGGACUGAGAGACGGCCCAGUGGCCUACGGGAGGCAGCAGGGGGGAGUAUGGCACAGUGGGCGGAAGCCUGAUGAAGAGACGCCGCGGGCGGGAAGACGGCUUUUGGGUAGUAAACCGCUUUAGCCUGAGACGCAGCGUGAGUGACGGUAAUGGGUAAAGAAGCACCGGCUAACUACGUG